GCUUAGGCGGUGAGGCAGACAGAUUCCAUGUAGCCCUCCUGAUCUUCACCUUUGAGAAUUCGUACCCUUGUGUAAUCCCCUCCCCUUAAAUGCGGGUAGGACCUGUGACUGGCUUCUAACCAAAAGCACAUGGCAAAUUCUGGAAGGUGUCAUUUCCACAAUUGUUAUAUAAAAUUGUAACACUUCUCAUGUUAGGAGACUCUCUCCCUUGCUGACUUUGAGGAAGCAAACAGGUGUGUUGGGAAACCUAUGUGACAGGGAACUGAGGCUGACAACUGGCCAAAAACUACCUGGGAACUAAGUGCACCUUCAGGCUGACAGCCAGCAGGAAAUUGGGACCCACAGUCCAGAGUGCAGAACCAUACAAGGUACUGAAUUCUGCCAAAACCUCAUGACCUUGAGAGUGGAUCCUUCCCAGUUAAGCCUUAAAAUGAGAACCCAGAUUUAUCCAAAACCUUGAUUGUCACCUUGCAGAAGAUCUAGCUAAGCCAUAUACAAAUUCUUGACUCAAAGACUGUAAGAUAAUAAAUGUGUGUUUAAGUUGCUAAGUUGUAGUAACUUGUUAUGCAACAAUAGAAAGCUAAAACACUGGAUAAAGUAUAAUAGAGGAAGAGGUCCUGCACUAAGAAAAAAAAUGAAGGAGGAGAAGAAAGUUUAAUCAAAAUUCAGCUAAGACUUAAUCCAGAUCAAUCUCUAAUUGGAUCAACGUAGUCAGACUUUUACCCUACUUGCCUAGCAGAACAAAGAACACGCUAUCUCUGGGUGACAAUAAAAUCACCUUCAGCAUCUACCAAUCUUUUUAUUAAAAAAUUCCUGGCAUACAAUAAAAAAUUUAAAAACAGGCAAAGAGGUAGUGAAACUAGGCCUCAUAAAACUUAGAAACUAGGCCUCAGGUCCCACCCUGCCUCGAUAGGGUCCCACCCUGCCAAUUCCGGGAAACAACCUCAUGGGGUCCCACCCUGCCAAUUCCGGGGGUCCCACCCUGCCUCGAAGUUCCCGGAAUCAACAACUCCAGGAAAGACCCUCAUAAGGUCCUGCUCUAACCAAUUAGAACAAGACACCUUGCUCAGGCCAUAGCUAGACCCAACCAUUUUGCGCCUUAAGCUUUGUUUGAAUUUCGCGCCAUAAGCUGUGUUUGAACUUGUGUUUGCCUAUAUAAACAGCCUGUAACAAGCAGUCAGGGUCCCAGGGCCAACUUAGAGCUUGGGACCCUAGCGCGCUAGUAAUAAAUAACUCUCUGCUGUCAAUCUCGUGUCGGGUGAUCCUUCGCGGCGACCCCUGCCCAGGAGGGAAUCGACAGCUCGGUUCCAACAGUAGAAAAAUGUAACAAUAAUCAGAACAAGACAAGCAAUAAAAACUGACCCACAGAUAAACCAAGAAUUGUAGAUAGCAAAAAAAAAAAAAAAAAAAAAAAAAGUGAAAUAAAUAUUAUGUGUAAGAUAAAAUAGAAAAACGUCUGAAAUAUAAGAUUUUGUCAAAGAAUAGAAAUCUAAUUUAAAAAAUCAAAUGAACAUUCUAAAAGUCAAAAAUUAGCGAAUAUUUAAACAUUGUUGAAUGAAUCAGUAGUAGCCUGAACAUGACAAAAGAGAGGAAUGGUGAACCUGAUGACAGAUCAAUAACAAUAUAUCAAAACUGAAGCACAGACUGUAAGAAUGCAAAGAAAAGAGUGUAAGAAAUAUAUGGGGCAGAAUAAAGAUAAUAUUCUUGUCAUCUAAGUCCCAGGGGAGAGGAGAAAAAUUAGACAGAAGCAAUAUUUCAAGAUAUCAUUACGAAUUUUUCCCCAACCGAUGAAAGUUAACAACUUAUCUAUCCCAGAAGCUCAGCUAAUGCCCAGC
rnacentral:lncRNA from 1 species